AAAUUGAAGAGUUUGAUCAUGGCUCAGAUUGAACGCUGGCGGCAGGCCUAACACAUGCAAGUCGAGCGGUAGCACAGAGAGCUUGCUCUCGGGUGACGAGCGGCGGACGGGUGAGUAAUGUCUGGGAAACUGCCUGAUGGAGGGGGAUAACUACUGGAAACGGUAGCUAAUACCGCAUAAUGUCGCAAGACCAAAGUGGGGGACCUUCGGGCCUCAUGCCAUCAGAUGUGCCCAGAUGGGAUUAGCUAGUAGGUGGGGUAACGGCUCACCUAGGCGACGAUCCCUAGCUGGUCUGAGAGGAUGACCAGCCACACUGGAACUGAGACACGGUCCAGACUCCUACGGGAGGCAGCAGUGGGGAAUAUUGCACAAUGGGCGCAAGCCUGAUGCAGCCAUGCCGCGUGUGUGAAGAAGGCCUUCGGGUUGUAAAGCACUUUCAGCGGGGAGGAAGGCGAUAAGGUUAAUAACCUUGUCGAUUGACGUUACCCGCAGAAGAAGCACCGGCUAACUCCGUGCCAGCAGCCGCGGUAAUACGGAGGGUGCAAGCGUUAAUCGGAAUUACUGGGCGUAAAGCGCACGCAGGCGGUCUGUCAAGUCGGAUGUGAAAUCCCCGGGCUUAACCUGGGAACUGCAUUCGAAACUGGCAGGCUAGAGUCUUGUAGAGGGGGGUAGAAUUCCAGGUGUAGCGGUGAAAUGCGUAGAGAUCUGGAGGAAUACCGGUGGCGAAGGCGGCCCCCUGGACAAAGACUGACGCUCAGGUGCGAAAGCGUGGGGAGCAAACAGGAUUAGAUACCCUGGUAGUCCACGCCGUAAACGAUGUCGAUUUGGAGGUUGUGCCCUUGAGGCGUGGCUUCCGGAGCUAACGCGUUAAAUCGACCGCCUGGGGAGUACGGCCGCAAGGUUAAAACUCAAAUGAAUUGACGGGGGCCCGCACAAGCGGUGGAGCAUGUGGUUUAAUUCGAUGCAACGCGAAGAACCUUACCUGGUCUUGACAUCCACAGAACUUAGCAGAGAUGCUUUGGUGCCUUCGGGAACUGUGAGACAGGUGCUGCAUGGCUGUCGUCAGCUCGUGUUGUGAAAUGUUGGGUUAAGUCCCGCAACGAGCGCAACCCUUAUCCUUUGUUGCCAGCGGUUCGGCCGGGAACUCAAAGGAGACUGCCAGUGAUAAACUGGAGGAAGGUGGGGAUGACGUCAAGUCAUCAUGGCCCUUACGACCAGGGCUACACACGUGCUACAAUGGCAUAUACAAAGAGAAGCGACCUCGCGAGAGCAAGCGGACCUCAUAAAGUAUGUCGUAGUCCGGAUUGGAGUCUGCAACUCGACUCCAUGAAGUCGGAAUCGCUAGUAAUCGUAGAUCAGAAUGCUACGGUGAAUACGUUCCCGGGCCUUGUACACACCGCCCGUCACACCAUGGGAGUGGGUUGCAAAAGAAGUAGGUAGCUUAACCUUCGGGAGGGCGCUUACCACUUUGUGAUUCAUGACUGGGGUGAAGUCGUAACAAGGUAACCGUAGGGGAACCUGCGGUUGGAUCACCUCCUUA
rnacentral:rRNA from 1 species